rnacentral:lncRNA from 1 species
CCAAGAGGAGCAUCUCUGAGGAAUGAGGACCUGGAAGAUGGGGAAUCUUACCUGCUUGGCUCUCUUUCCUUGGCCUCCCCUCCAGAACACUCUUGAAAAGAGGUCACACAGGAGGCUUGGCAGAGAGGACACUCUGGGCCAGUCCACAAAGUUUAUUAUUAAGGUGCUUAGACUCUAA